AGUCAAGGGGCUUGUAUCCCUUCGGGGAUGCAAGCACCGGCGGACGGCUCAGUAACACGUGGACAACCUGCCCUCGGGUGGGGGAUAACCCCGGGAAACUGGGGCUAAUCCCCCAUAGGGGAUGGGUACUGGAAUGUCCCAUCUCCGAAAGCGCUUAGCGCCCGAGGAUGGGUCUGCGGCGGAUUAGGUUGUUGGUGGGGUAACGGCCCACCAAGCCGAAGAUCCGUACGGGCUGUGAGAGCAGGAGCCCGGAGAUGGACCCUGAGACACGGGUCCAGGCCCUACGGGGCGCAGCAGGCGCGAAACCUCCGCAAUGCGGGAAACCGCGACGGGGUCAGCCGGAGUGCUCGCGCAUCGCGCGGGCUGUCGGGGUGCCUAAAAAGCACCCCACAGCAAGGGCCGGGCAAGGCCGGUGGCAGCCGCCGCGGUAAUACCGGCGGCCCGAGUGGCGGCCACUUUUAUUGGGCCUAAAGCGUCCGUAGCCGGGCUGGUAAGUCCUCCGGGAAAUCUGGCGGCUUAACCGUCAGACUGCCGGAGGAUACUGCCAGCCUAGGGACCGGGAGAGGCCGGGGGUAUUCCCGGAGUAGGGGUGAAAUCCUGUAAUCCCGGGAGGACCACCUGUGGCGAAGGCGCCCGGCUGGAACGGGUCCGACGGUGAGGGACGAAGGCCAGGGGAGCGAACCGGAUUAGAUACCCGGGUAGUCCUGGCUGUAAACGAUGCGGACUAGGUGUCACCGAAGCUACGAGCUUCGGUGGUGCCGGAGGGAAGCCGUUAAGUCCGCCGCCUGGGGAGUACGGCCGCAAGGCUGAAACUUAAAGGAAUUGGCGGG
rnacentral:rRNA from 1 species